CAGCUCGCAGGCAGCCCAAAAGGUCAGUCUCACUCCCACUAUGUCUCCCCUCAACAGCACCGAGUUUGUUUCCAGGCAGCUGGUGAGCAGAGCUGACACCUUUCCUCAGGCUAUAAGCCUCCCCACUGACAAUGCAAGGAGGGCUUUCAGGUUUAUGCCUCCCCACCUGCCGCGGUUUCCUCCCCAAGGACCCCUGCAAGAAAAAGUCAGGAAUGGAUUCCUGGAACAAAGAAUGUCCACAGGGCUCUUGAUGCUGCUGCCUCUACCCCUAUAUUUUAUAUAGUUCUGGAAGUACUCACUGCAGAGACAAAUGGAAAUGAGUCCACUCUAGGAAGAAGAAUAACUGGAAGCUUGAGCUGUGUAAAUGUGACUUGGAAAUGUGACUUCAGGAGAAAGAACCAGGUAGAAAACCCUGAUGGUGAAAGCAAGUUUUAACUGAAAUGAGAAGAAACUGAAAGUUACAUUACCAUGGCUUUUAUGAGUCAAAGAAGAGACAUUAUGGAAUCUCUGGGAACGGCAAUCCAUCAUCAAAUUCAGUUUUAGUUUUCAUACAUUUUCUGCAACAAGAAGAGAUGGCAGUGUUUUGAAAUGGGAAGAUUAAAAUUUUGAAAAUCUUGGAAACAGAAAUCAUCUAUUUUAUAGAAACUACUUUUUUUCUGGGUAGAGUCAUGCUACAGGCACCCUUCCAGGGAGAUACACUUCUUGCCACCCCCAAGAAUAUUAUUAUGAGAGUAUAUAAAUCAACAGACAGCAACAGCUCAGCAAACCUAGAGGUAACCAAGGACAUUCUACAAUUACUGAGACUCACCUCAUCUCACUUUAAUAAAGCCCACAGGAAAAA
rnacentral:lncRNA from 1 species